GGUGGAGCUCGGGAGACCCGGGGAAGUGCCGUAUUGGCCAAUGUUGGCAUCCAGCUAAGCUUUUCCUUCACACCAACAACGGGAUUUGCCACCCUAAUCAAUGGAGACAAAAUCCUUUUGAGGUCUGCUGCUGCCAUCAAUGGUGCCAGUUUUCGCCAGGUCAUACGUCUGCCGCUUGAAAGCGCAAGAUUCUGUCCUGGGUGCCCCCGUUUCCGCAGUGCUUUAACGCGCUGCCCUGCAUCAUCCCCCAUAUUUGGGCGCACCCUCGUAAAACCUGUCUUGGAUGAACGGUACCUCCGCAUCACCGCUGGUGCACUGUCGCUCCCGCAUAGUUCCGCCUCUGAAAGGUUUUGUUUUUUCUCAGCAACGCAUUUUUUGGUGUUCUCGCGUCUUUUCCGGAGGCAACUGAACGGUGAGAGACGCUUGCGCCGCAUCGAUUGGUGUAGCGGGCUCAACAAAAUAUUUGUGAAGUCAUGACGAUCGUCUUCGAAGUGCUCGGCGGGGCCAUCAUCAGGCACAGCUUACGCAUCCCCCCGUGACGAUGAGCUUGCCAAGUCUUGUCUGACUGGGGCUUAUGGUUGCACGUUUCGGUGAAGACAGCACUUCAUCUGGUAACAGCGAAAGAUCCAGCUGCUGUGGUUUUUCGCAGGAUUACUGCUCCACUUGAAUUCGAUGGUUCCGUAUUGUUGGUUUUUCACUUGCAGGACUGGGCCUUCUCCAAACAGCCCCAGCAAUGACAGUUAGCAGAUAAUAAUGACACUGUUCCGACCGGAGCCUUUUUCGAGGCACUUGCCAGGCACUCUGCAGUUCCAGUCAUGAACGCGGUAGCAGUUGCUUCAGACGACGCUAAUAGAAGUUUGUAAGAACGAAGCGAGUUUGUGCGUGUUACGAGGAAGACAGACGACUUUCGAUUUGGGGAUCUUUGCAUAUUGUGGCUCCCACAUUCCCAGAUGAGCGUUGUGUUGUCACAUGAGUGAAGG
rnacentral:lncRNA from 1 species